rnacentral:rRNA from 1 species
UACGGAGGGUGCGAGCGUUGUUCGGAAUUACUGGGCGUAAAGCGCGCGUAGGCGGCCAUUUAAGUCAUUUGUGAAAGUCCACGGCUCAACCGUGGAAGUGCAUGUGAAACUGGGUGGCUUGAGUACUGGAGGGGGUGGUGGAAUUCCCGGUGUAGAGGUGAAAUUCGUAGAUAUCGGGAGGAAUACCGGUGGCGAAGGCGACCACCUGGCCAGAUACUGACGCUGAGGUGCGAAAGCGUGGGGAGCAAACAGG